rnacentral:sRNA from 1 species
CCUUGAAAACUGAAUCCGAUUCAACCAUGUGUAUAAGGUGAUUGCUUCACCGUCAUGGAUACCCAUGCUAAGUAAUGUCGUAAGUUGCUUUUAGGGAUACCUUUAGCAUCUUACAGAAUAUAUGGAAACAUAUAGGAAGGCUGUAAAAGCAGUCAAUUAAUGGGUAGUGCUAGUUAUUGUGACAUAAGGCAUAGAACUGGUUGGGUAGGCAAUAGACGCCCUGUUGGGAAUAAGCCAGCAAGCCCCUGUGGUAGCUCUUGGGGAAACACUGGUACGCUACAACUACCUUAGCUAUGAAAAGCGGAAGGCACCGUGUGAGGCUAUUAAAAGCUUCGUGAUAAAACCAGAAACUAGUAAAAGUAGGCCAAGGCUAAAUUUAGAACAAUACUAUUGGAGUAUUCAAAUAAAUCGAAUGCAGGCUGAAAUUUGGGCAUCAAAGAAUGCGCCCUUGCAAGUUAAAAGCACUUAGUUGUUAUAGGGUAGCUCCCUGUAGCACGGACUAAGUGGGCAAGUUGCCUAAUAAUGGUAGUAAUAAUGUGGUAGGAGUAAAAGACGGAUCGGGUUUAGUUUUUA